ACUGAUGAAACUGUUUUUGGACUUCUCAUCUCCAGAAUGGUAAGAUAAUAUAUUUAUGUUGUUUUAAACGGCUAAGUUUCUGGUAAUUUGUUACAGAAGACAUUGGAAACUAAUACACUGUUUUACUACUGUAUAUUGGGUAGGGAUGAAAGCUAAUUUAUCUUACUUCACAGGUCUCUGAUCCUGAAGAAUUGCAUUUCUGUGUCUCUGCAUUUAACAUGGAUAAUGAGACGCUGGGUUGAGCAUAUCUGAGCCUGAUGCCACAAUGGACUGAGAAGAAAUUUCAAUGAUGGUGCAGAGGCCAUGGUGUCGAGUCAUUCUGUGAUGAUAGCUUGAAAACUUCGGAAAGUGUUUCAGAGAUAAUAAGCGCCACGGAGAAUAUCAGCAGUAUCAUUACACACGUUUCAUAGGCAACCAAGCCUUCGAAUUCUGAACAGUUUGCACUGAGAAUAUAUUGUGUGACAAUUUUUGCAGAAAGGUUACUCUGGAGCAACUAAGGGUCCAGAGGCAAAUGAUCCUUCUCCUGACAUAUUUUCAGAAGG